rnacentral:sRNA from 1 species
AUAGAAGUACAGGUCAAUCCGAGCGGAAACCAUAGGAGGGUAUCUGAAGUGGGCAUUGUAGAAAAUACACUUGUAGGGUAUGAAGUCCCAAGAAGAACAACGGAAUGGUAUGAGUCAGAUGUCAAAUACGGAAGAGGGAAUAUGAAAACAGUCUAUCCAACCCAAGAAGAAACUACGUCGUGAAACCGCUUAGAAGUCUUCGUCGAAGGUGAAUGCGCCUCCAUUUUCGAUCUGCUUCUCCGUUUCGUCGGUCGCAGCCUCUUUCUUUGUGCUUGCCAUGACACCGGCCUUUUGGUAGUCACCAACACGCUUUUCAAAGAAGUUGGUCUUACCAGCUAGUGAUAUGUUGUCCAUGAAGUCAAAUGGGUUGGUGGAGUUGUAAACUUUCUUGUUGCCCAAAGCAACGAGGAGACGGUCAGCGACAAACUCAAUGUAUUGGCACAUGAGCUUAGCGUUCAUUCCGAGAAGCGCGACUGGGAGCGCAUCCGAGAGGAACUCCUGCUCGAUCGUGACAGCUUCAGUGAUGAUAUUCUCAACAGCCUCUGGGCUGGGGCGGUGGCGCAGGUGAGAGAAAAGGAGACAGGCAAAAUCAGUGUGUAAGCCUUCGUCACGAGAGAUAAGCUCAUUAGAAAACGUCAGGCCAGGCAUGAGGCCUCGUUUCUUCAGCCAGAAGAUAGAAGCGAAGGAUCCACUGAAGAAUAUGCCUUCAACAGCAGCGAAGGCGACGAGACGCUGCGCGAAGGUAGAGUCUUUGUCUUCGAUCCACCGGAUGGCCCAAUCGGCUUUUUUGCGGAUGCAGGGAAUGGUUUCAAUGGCAUCGAACAAGUAUGUCCGCUGCUUUGGUUCUUUGAUGUACGUGUCGAUGAGGAGAGAAUAAGUCUCAGAGUGAAUAUUCUCCAUCAUAAUCUGGAAGCCGUAGAAACAGCGUGCUUCCGGAACCUGAACUUCUCCACUAAAACGCUCUACUAGGUUCUCGUUGACAAUGCCAUCCGACGCGGCGAAGAAUGCCAAGACAUGUGAGAUAAAGUAUCGCUCAUCAUCGUUCAAUCUAUUGUUCCAAUCGUGUAGAUCUUUGGAGAGAUCAAUUUCUUCUGCAGUCCAGAAUGACGCCUCCGCUUUCUUGUACAUUUGCCAGAUCUCAUGAUACUUGAGCGGAAACAAAACAAAUCUAUUCGGAUUCUCCUGAAGCAAUGGCUCGUCUGCCUCUAGGGCUUUUACACCGGUCAGAGCUUUCUUCUCUCCUUCUUCAGGUUUCCGAGCGGAAGUCUCUGUUUUCUUGAGGAGCUCGGGGUCAAGGACGAGAGGGACUGGAAUUGGAGCAUUCUCCUUGCCGGUAGGCUCGAAAUUGAGCUUCUUAGCAGGAGAGUCGUUCAUUUUGAGGUUCUCCAGAGAGGAUGCGGCCUGUUUCGACGGGGUUACUUGAGCAGCCAUUGAAGAGAAGGUGUGAAGAGGC